UAGUAUGCUUUGGAAACUGUUCAACUAGAGUGCAGGAGAGGUAAGUGGAAUUCCUAGUGUAGCGGUGAAAUGCGUAGAGAUUAGGAAGAACACCAGUGGCGAAGGCGACUUACUGGACUGUAACUGACGCUGAGGCAUGAGAGCAUGGGGAGCAAA
rnacentral:rRNA from 1 species